UCGGGAAUUUUGGGCAAUGGGCGAAAGCCUGACCCAGCAACGCCGCGUGAAGGAUGAAGUAUUUCGGUAUGUAAACUUCGAAAGAAUAGGAGGAAUAAAUGACGGUACUAUUUAUAAGGUCCGGCUAACUACGUGCCAGCAGCCGCGGUAAUACGUAGGGACCAAGCGUUGUUCGGAUUUACUGGGCGUAAAGGGCGCGUAGGCGGCAUGACAAGUCACUUGUGAAAUCUCUGGGCUUAACCCAGAACGGCCAAGUGAUACUGUCGCGCUAGAGUGCAGAAGGGGCAAUCGGAAUUCUUGGUGUAGCGGUGAAAUGCGUAGAUAUGCGGAGGAACACCGAUGGCGAAGGCAAUCCCCUGGGCCUGCACUGACGCUCAUGCACGAAAGCGUGGGGAGCAAACAGGAUUAGAUACCCCCGUAGUCCCUGAGCGGGCUGGCAAGGCGCAU
rnacentral:rRNA from 1 species